AAGGCUUAAGAAAGUUUUUUAUUUUGUGAAAAAGUUAUCCUAAUUUCUAAAACACAAAACCAAAUCUACGGUAAUUCUCAAAAAAAUGAAAAAUUUCUAAAAAUAUCAGUUUUUAUGAAAAUUAUUUUAAAAUACAACUUAUAGAUGAAAAACUCUAAAGGUAUACUCAUCUAUCCUCUAAUAUUCUUGUUAUCCUAGUUUUUAAAUCAAAAACCGAAAUCUAUAAUAUUUUUUAAGAAAAUGAAAACUUUUCAAAAAUAGCAGUUUUUAAAAAAAUUAUUUAAAAAUACAACUUAAACUCUUAAAGAAUACUCAUCUAUCCACAAAUAUUCUUGUUAUCCUAAUUUAUAAAUCACAUACCCAAAUCUACAAUAUUUCUGUAAAAAAAUGAAAGCUUUCCAAAAGUAGCAGCUUUUAAGAAAAUUAUUUAAAAAUACAAAAUGAAAUAUUCUUAACGAAUACUCAUCUAUCCAUAAAUAUUCUUGUUAUCCAAAUUUCUAAAUCACAAACCAAAUCUACAAUAUUUCUAAGCAAAAUGAAAAUUUUCCAAAAAUAGCAGUUUUUAAGAAAAUUAUUUAAAAAUACAAUAUAUUGAUAAAAAAUUCUGAAAGAAUACUCAUCUAUCUACAAAUAAUCUUGUUAUCCUUAUUUCUAUAUCAUAAACCCAAAUCUACAGUAUUUCUCAAAAAAAUAAAAACUUUCCAAAAAUAAUAGUUUUUAUUAAAAUUAUUUAAAAAUACAACCUAUUGAUGAAAAACUCUAAAAGAAUACUCAUCUAUCCAAUAAUAUUCUUGUUAUUCUAAUUUCUAAAUCACAAACCCAAAUCUACAGUAUUUCUCAAAAAAAUAAAAACUUUCCAAAAAUAAUAGUUUUUAUUAAAAUUAUUUAAAAAUACAACCUAUUGAUGAAAAACUCUGAAAGAAUACUCAUCUAUCCACUAAUAUUCUUGUUAUCCUAAUUUCUAAAUCAAAAAAUCAAAUCUAUAAAAUUUCUCAAAAAAUGAAAAAUUUCCAAAAAUAGCAAUUUUUAUGAAAAUUAUUCAAAAAUAAAAUAUAUUGAUGAAAAAUUCUUAAAGAGCACUCAUCUAUCCAAAAAUAUUCUUGUUAUCCUAAUUUAUAAAUCACAAACCCAAAUCUACAGUAUUUCAAAAAAAAAAAUGAAAAUUCCCAAAAAUAGCAGCCUUUACGAAAAUUAUUUUAAAAUACAAUAUAUUGAUGAAAAAUUCUGAAAGAAUACUCAUCUAUCUACAAAUAUUAUUGUUAUCCAAAUUUCUAAAUCACAAAGACAAAUCUACAAUAUUUCUCAAAAAAAAGAAAACUUUCCAAAAAUAGCAGUUUUUAUGAAAAUUAUUUAAAAUUACAACCUAGAUGAAAAACUCUGAAAGAAUACUUAUCUAUCCACUAAUAUUAUUGUUAUCCUAAUUUCUAAAUCACAAACUCAAAGCUAUAAAAUUUCUCAAAAAAUGAAAACUUUCCAAAAAUAGCAGGUUUUAGGAAAAUUAUUUAAAAAUACAACUUAUUCAUGAAAAUCUCUGAAAAAAUACUCAUCUAUCCACAAAUAUUAUUGUUAUCCAAUUUUCUAAUUCAAAAACCCAAAUCUACAGAAUUUCUCAAAAAAAUGAAAAACUUCCAAAAAUAACCCUUUUUAAGAAAAUUAUUUAAAAAUACUACUUAUUCCUGAAAAACUCUGAAAGAAUACUCAUCUAUUUACAAAUAUUCUUGUUAUCCUAAUUUCUAAAUCACAAACUCAAAUCAAUAAAAUUUCUCUAAAAAAUAAAAAAAUCCAAAAAUAGAGGCUUUUAAGAAAAUUAUUUAAAAAUACAACAUAUUGAUGAAAAAUUCUUAAAGAGCACUCAUAUAUCCACAAAUAUUCUUUUUAUACUAAUUUCUGAAUCACAAACCCAAAUCUACAGUAUUUCUCAAAA
rnacentral:lncRNA from 1 species